rnacentral:rRNA from 1 species
GACGAACGCUGGCGGCGUGCUUAACACAUGCAAGUCGAACGGUGAAGCGCCUUCCUUUUUGGUGGGUGUGGAUGAGUGGCGAACGGGUGAGUAACACGUGUGUAACCUGCCCCCUUCUUCUGGAUAACCGCAUGAAAGUGUGGCUAAUACGGGAUAUUCUGGGUCUGUCGCAUGAUGGGUCUGGGAAAGAUAUUGUUUCGGUGGGGGAUGGGCUCGCGGCCUAUCAGCUUGUUGGUGGGGUGAUGGCCUACCAAGGCGGUGACGGGUAGCCGGCCUGAGAGGGUGGACGGUCACACUGGGACUGGGACACGGCCCAGACUCCUACGGGAGGCAGCAGUGGGGAAUAUUGCACAAUGGGCGCAAGCCUGAUGCAGCGACGCCGCGUGAGGGAUGGAGGCCUUCGGGUUGUGAACCUCUUUCGCCAGUGAAGCAGGCCUGCCUCGUUUGUGGGUGGGUUGACGGUAGCUGGAUAAGAAGCGCCGGCUAACUACGUG